rnacentral:RNase_P_RNA from 1 species
CCAGUCGGCCGGGCAGCCGCGCUCUACCAGUGCCGAAAGGCGGUAGGGUGAGGAAAGUCCGGGCUCCACGGAAACACGGUGCCGGAUAACGUCCGGCGAGGGUGACCUUAGGGAUAGUGCCACAGAAAGCAAACCGCCCCGCCUGCUUUUCCGUCCGCAUGAGGACGCAAAAGUCGGCGGGGUAAGGGUGAAAGGGUGGGGUAAGAGCCCACCGCGUCGCUGGUAACAGGGACGGCACGGUAAACCCCACCGGGAGCAAGACCGAAUAGGGAUGACGCGGGUGCUGCGCAAGCGGUGCCACAGCCUGUUUCCGGGCCAGUCAUCCGGGUGGGUUGCGUGAGGCAGCGUGCAAACGCUGUCCCAGAUGAAUGGCUGCCACGUUCCGGGCGACCGGAGCCAUACAGAACCCGGCUUACAGGCCGACUGGCACU